CUUGGUCAUUUAGAGGAAGUAAAAGUCGUAACAAGGUUUCCGUAGGUGAACCUGCGGAAGGAUCAUUAGUGAAUUUUAGGGCGUCUACUUGUAGAGCCUGACCCUCCACUUCUAACACUGUGCAUUAUUCGGUCAUUUGGCGACGUACCUUCGGGUGUCGAGCUGUUUGGCUAAUUUUACCAUUAAACAUUAGUACCAGUAUGUAACGAAAUAUCGAAACAAAAAAAAACUUUCAACAACGGAUCUCUUGGCUCUCGCAUCGAUGAAGAACGCAGCGAAAUGUGAUAAGUAAUGUGAAUUGCAGAAUUCAGUGAAUCAUCGAAUCUUUGAACGCACAUUGCGCCCCUUGGUAUUCCGAGGGGCAUGCCUGUUCGAGCGUCAUUAUGACCACUCAAGCCUAGCUUGGUAUUGGGGUUCGCGGUCUCGCGGCCCUUAAAAUCAGUGGCGGUGCCAUCUGGCUCUAAGCGUAGUAAUUUAUCUCGCUAUUGGGUCCGGUGGUUGCUUGCCAACAACCCCCAAUUUCUAAGGUUGACCUCGGAUCAGGUAGGGAUACCCGCUGAACUUAAGCAUAUCAAUAAGCGGAGGA
rnacentral:rRNA from 1 species